rnacentral:rRNA from 1 species
UACGUAGGGGGCUAGCGUUGUCCGGAAUCAUUGGGCGUAAAGAGCGCGUAGGCGGCCACCGCAAGUCGACUGUGAAAUCUCCGGGCUUAACCCGGAAAGGUCAGCCGAUACUGCGGGGCUAGAGUGCAGAAGGGGCAACUGGAAUUCUCGGUGUAGCGGUGAAAUGCGUAGAUAUCGAGAGGAACACCUGCGGCGAAGGCGGGUUGCUGGGCUGACACUGACGCUGAGGCGCGAAAGCUAGGGGAGCGAACGGG